UUGGUUUAUUGCAGUUGACAAUAGAGGAUGUGCUGAAGAAUCCUGCUGAACAACAGAAGGAUGAGGAACAUUUUGUUGAACAAUGCAUGCCAUGUUCUCAGAUUAAUUAGGAUCUAUUAAAUUUUGGUUAUUGUAA